GAGUUUGAUCUUGGCUCAGAUUGAACGCUGGCGGCAUGCCUUACACAUGCAAGUCGAACGGCAGCACGGGAGCUUGCUCCUGGUGGCGAGUGGCGAACGGGUGAGUAAUGCAUCGGAACGUAUCCUGGAGUGGGGGAUAACGUAGCGAAAGUUACGCUAAUACCGCAUAUUCUGUGAGCAGGAAAGCGGGGGACCUUCGGGCCUCGCGCUCUUGGAGCGGCCGAUGUCGGAUUAGCUAGUUGGUGAGGUAAAGGCUCACCAAGGCGACGAUCCGUAGCAGGUCUGAGAGGAUGAUCUGCCACACUGGAACUGAGACACGGUCCAGACUCCUACGGGAGGCAGCAGUGGGGAAUUUUGGACAAUGGGGGCAACCCUGAUCCAGCCAUGCUGCGUGAGUGAAGAAGGCCUCGGUUGUAAG
rnacentral:rRNA from 1 species